AAUUCGAUGAUUAACUUUUUAAAAAGUGCUUGAGGUGGGAGGAUGAGUGGCUGGCUUGCCUUUAGAUUUUGAGAUCUUCCCUCCUUCUUGCCUCCGUUUAGCACCACCAAGCCUCCCUGGAAUGGUACUUCCCAGAUCUUGGAUUGAGGGAUGAAGUAGGAUUUCACCUCACUUGUUCUCAGAGAAUCUUUUAACUGCAUUUUAUUAAUGCUUUUGAAGAGUAGAAGAUAUUUUGCCUUCUGGAGUUUCUCUGACUUGCUGAUGGUCUAAGCUCAAAGCUGCCAGUUUAGGGGGGGUGAUCAAUAACUCCCUGUAACAUCUGAGUAAGUAGAGAUGCUGCUGUGUGUUGUGUUUAACUGCUGAAGAAAAAAAUAAAAUUUUGUGACUUUAAAGGUUUUUAAAGUAU
rnacentral:lncRNA from 1 species